AGAUCGGACCUUUUCCAUAAUUCCCCUCAACUCCCCCCUUCGUCAACAUUGUCUUAACUCCUCGUAUAUAUCUCUCCAUCACUGAGACCUCUCACUUUCAGGACAAGGUCUUCUCUCUCUCUCUCUUUUCUUUCUAGAUAAAGUUCGUCGUCUCUCCUCCAUUCACGCCUUAAAAACCCACAUCACGAUUCUCCCGAUCUUUGUCCCUGUUCUCCUCUUCAUCCCUUAUAAUUCCUGAGCGCUUGGCAGUUGGUACGAGUCUUUUCGUCGCCGGAAGAAGCCGUGCUGCAUUUGGCAGCUGUUCAUGCGAUGGGGAACUACGCGUCCUGUGCCCUAUCUGGCCCCGCCGGGCGGCAGUCGAGGGCCGCCAAGGUGAUCUUCCCAGGCGGCGAGGUCCAGCAGUUCCACGCGCCCACCAAGGCCGCGGAGCUCAUGCUCGAGACCCCGAGCUACUUCCUCGUCAACACGCGGUCCCUCCGCGCCGGGCGGCGGUUCUCGGCUCUCAACGCGGACGAGGACCUCGAGAUGGCGAACGUCUACGUCAUGUUCCCGAUGCGGCGGCUCAACUCCUUCGUGACCGCGGCCGACAUGGGCGCGCUGUUCCUCGCCGCGAGCUCCGCCGCCAAGAAAGGCGGGCCUCCGGGGAGCCGGGUGGGGGCCCUGCCGGAGGCGGGCGAGAAGCGGAGGGGGAGGCCGAGGCCGAGGCCGCCGCAGCCGCCGCCGUGCCGAAGCUGAACCUGGAGGAGAUCGAAGGGUUCUCGACGCAGGAGUUCAUGCAUAGACUCUCCAUGUCGAAGUCAAAGAAGCCUUUGCUGGAGACCAUAACCGAAGACUGAGAGCCGAGGUAGUUGGUAGCCGCGGCAUGAUUGGGGCCGUGUAGAAGUCUCUCUCUGAUCCCGUCAAAUUAGCUUAGACGUGUAAGAAAAAUGGAAAGAAAAUGUUUGUAUUUUUGUUGAAAGGAUCCGUGUAUAAAAAAUUUCAAUUUAAAGGUAA